rnacentral:ncRNA from 1 species
UGAGAGCUAAGAUCCGUAAGGUUGCUGCCCAUUAAGCGGCAGGUAAUUUACGGGGAGCGAAUGUCCGUUCAGGAAACCGACGACA